rnacentral:rRNA from 1 species
AUGGAGCCGGAGGUCGCGGAGGCAGCCCGUGGCGAGGCUGCAUUCUCAAUACGCGCGCUCCACCACCUCGCCCUCGCGGCCGGCGCGGCCGCCAGCAGCAAGAACCUCGCCGUGUCCCCACUCUCCAUCCACGCCGCGGUGGUGCUCCUCGGCGCGGCCGCCCGGGGCGCCACGCUCGACGAGAUCGUCGCCUUCCUCGGCACCGCCGGCGGCCGCGCCCACGCGCUGCUCGCGUCGGAUGUCGCCCUACGCGUGCUCGCCCACAGCGCCGGCGAUUACGGCGGGCCGAAGGUGCGGUUCGCCAACAGUGUCUGGGUCGACGACGCGUCAGCGCGCCUCAAGGCCGACUACGCCCGCGUCGUCGCCGAGCAGUUCCGCGCCCAAGCGUACGCGGCGUCCUUCACAACAAAGCCGGAGGAAGCGAGGCGGGACAUCAACCGGUGGGUUCAGGCUGCGAGGGCGGGCCGGAUCAAGGGUUUCCUGCCCCAGGGCUCGGUCGGCGCCGGCACGCGGGCCAUCCUCGUGAACGCGCUCUACUUCAAGGGCGUCUGGGAGAGCAAGUUCGACGCCCGCCUCACGCAGCAGCACAGAUUCUACCUGCUCAACGGCGGCCAUGUCCGCGUGCCGUUCAUGUAG